GCCAUAGCUUGGUGGUAGAGCAUCUGCUUUGCAUGCCAAAGGUUACAAGUUCAAUCCCUGGCAUCUCCA